rnacentral:rRNA from 1 species
CCCUUAGAUGUCCUGGGCCGCACGCGCGUUACACUGAUGCAUUCAACGAGCAUAUAACCUUGGCCGAGAGGCCUGGGUAAUCUUGUUAACAUGCAUCGUGAUAGGGAUAGAUUAUUGCAAUUAUUAAUCUUGAACGAGGAAUUCCUAGUAAUCGCAGUUCAUCAAACUGCAAUGAUUACGUCCCUGCCCUUUGUACACACCGCCCGUCGCACCUACCGAUUGAAUGGUCCGGUGAGGACUCGGGAUUGUGGUUUAGCCCCUUCAUUGGGGCCUGACUGCGAGAACUUGUCCGAACCUUAUCAUUUAGAGGAAGGUGAAGUCGUAACA